CAAAAGCACAAUUUGUGGUACAAAAUAAAAUGCACGGAAAACAAAAAAGUUUAUUUUUUGAAACACUAUACAUUAACCAUUGCCUUCGAACCUGUUCACCAUUAGUAAGUUUUCUGAAGAACCAUUUAUUACUAAAAUGAUGAUUAUUUUCGUCAUGUGGAUAGUAGUUUUGAAUUGAAGAGAUUGGAGGACCACGUUCAAUUAAAAUAGCUUUUAACCUAGGUGUUAUUUUGGGCCAUUUCGCAGGAUCAUUAAAGUCAACAUUUUUAGUAUUAUCCUGUUUUUCUAUUUUUAUCUCAUUGUUAGUAUCAGACUCAAUGGUAGUAGCAUUUUCUGUUAUUUUUAUUCCAUCGUUAGUAUCCGUUUCUAAAGGAACUACUAGAUUUUCUUUUGGACUAGAUUUCUGAAGCCAUUUGCCUAACGAUGCGGAUAAACUUUUAUUACUAGAUUCUUUCAGUUUUCUUUGCUUUUCAAACCAGGCACCAGAAGGUUUUUUUGAAGUCAUUAUUUUAUUAGUAAAUUAUUAACGACUAACGAGUAAAUUAUAAAAUGUUUAUAUAGUUUUAUUAACUUACGUGUGUGCGUACAGCUUGCGACGUGUCAAUAGCAUAGACGGCUAAGAAAAGGCAAUACGAUUACCCGCAUCGUACUAUCAUGCAUUGUAAUACGCACUAUCGUCACUUUUAAAAAUACGAUUAUUGAUAUAUAAACGACAAAGAAUAUCAUAAUAUAUUUUAUAGACGGGCCACGGGCGAUCCGAUAACGAUAGGCUCGAUGUUCACACACACACACAAACACACACUCACCGUUCCUUGUACUGAAACACGAAUUUAACGAUAAACAAGAUAAACAAGAUAAACAAAAUCAUACACAUUUCAAAAUGUAUAGUCAUAUAGGUAAUACAGAAAUGUCGUUUUGAAGUUAGAAUAAAAAUAAGUACCAAUUUUAAAGCACAAAUUGGCGCCCCUUCAUAAUUUGCGCUCCUGGCGUAGGCACAGUUCGCCAUACCCUUGCUACGCCACUGGUCCAUAGUAUGAAUAUUAAUAUUAAACGAUAAUAAUCUCGUUAGUAUCUUGGAGCAGUGGUGAAAUUACGGGGGGGGGGAUAGAUCCCCCCAUGAGCUGUAUUUUUAUACUGUCGUAUACACACAAAUAGUUCAGAUACAAACUUAUAAAUUAAUAUUUAUUAUUAAACUAAAAAAUAAAAUAAAAUAUUUAGUUGUGUUAGUACGGAUCAUAAAUAUUUACUAGGUAAAGAUGAGCGUGAUUUUAAAAUAUAUGGUCUGUUUUAUUUGAAUUCUUAUUUAUUAAUAAACACUUGGGUGCCCUGCCACAACUGCAGCUAAUUACAGUACCUACUUCCUACACACUACAUGCAUAUUAUAGAUUAUAGAUUACAGAUUAUAAGUAAUCCGAUGAUGGGUAAAACCACUUUUCCAAAAAUUAAAAUUUAAUAAUGAAAAUCUAACUUCAAGAUUUACAUUUCGUAGAACGAAUAAUAAUACUACGUACGCUGGCCGACACUAAGUAUCUAUACAUUGAUUAUCGCGAUUACGUACACACACUGCAUACUGUGACAUUCUCGAUUCUCACAUAGCCACAGUGUCAGGAAAUUGAUUUAAUUUUCAUAAGCUAAAAGCAAAACGGAGCAAAAAAAAGAAAAUUACCGGCAACUAAUAAUACUCUUUUGAAUUUUUUUAAAAAGAAGCCCGGAUUUGACAAAAACAUAGAGAAAACUGAUGAUGUAUUACCUCACGUUGAAAAUAAAAAUUUGGUUCAAACUGUCCAAAUAACAAAUAAGGUAGGCACAGUUUUGUUCUAAGGUAUUAUGCCUGUAGCAUGACUGCUAACACUGCAUAUCAUUAAUAAAUUAUGUUCUGCUUCGUAAUUUUUUAGAGUAAUCAUUUUGAUGCAAGUAAAAAUGACAUUGCUUUGUUUAUUAGACAUGAUUUGCUAUCAGACGAAGAAAAAAAUAACGUAAGAUUUUCGAACUUAAUGGUCUGGCAUUGUUGGCAAUUUACAAUGACAUUAUAUUUUCAAAUGAAGAGGUCAUUGAUGGACUUGCCGAAAAGCCCAGAAAUCUGGACAUAAUAUUGUAAAAUAUUAAAACGAUUUAUUACAUAUUUGUUAUUUGUAAAUAUAUAGUAUUAUGUAAUAUAAAAUGAUUAUAUUGAUAUGUGUUGAGUUAUUAAAUUAUACCAAAUAUAGUUAAGGGGGUGUGGGAGGCAAAGGCCUCCACAAGUUUGCUAUACAAAUUUAUUUCAAUCCCCCCCCUCAAAAAACAUUCUCAAUUACGCCACUGUUUUGGAGUGCAAUGUUGAAGUCCGGCAAUUGUUCUUCUGAAUACACAAGGUAGAAACUAAAAGAAGCAGCAGUAGUGAUUUGUCGUAAAUAUUAGUGUGCUAUGUACUGACGUCCCGCCUAUACGUAUAUACUUGAGAUAGCGAGGGGGACGAAUGAGAUUGUUCACACUAGGAUGUGAUUGACCUUGGGAAAGCGUCUUGAAAGAUUUAGGAUAACAGCUAUAGUCUUUGUGUGCGUAGUUCUGAGAACUCGACAAACGAAAUCGCGUUGUGAAAGAUAUGUGGAAACAAUUAGACACAUGCAUAUAUAUGGACAUAAAUAAUGAAUAAUAUUAAUAUUGUUCUAUUAUAAUAAAUAGACGUCAGAUAAUAUAUCGAUAUCGACAGCCGCACAGGAAGAGACCGUUUCCUGGAACUCGUACGCACACGUGCAAUGGUAAACGGGGUCAGCCCUAUCUUAUCGUUAGGAGAAGAGCGGAGAGUAGGCCUAUAAAACAGGGACCCAGCCACCCGAUAUUCAGACGUGAUUUACCAGAGUCAGUACGAGCACCUUCACGCCAGUCGACUCUCUGAUAAAUUUCAGUGU